UUGAAAUUCUUAGUAACCUUGAACAAGGGGACUUGCAUUUUUAUUUUGUACUGGGCUUCCCUAAUUAGGUAGCCAGGCCUUCUUAGCACUGAGGGCUUCCUGGAUUCACCCCAUCUGAAGCAAGAUAUAAUUUGAAACUCAACUGGCAUAUCAGAAGAAACCAAGAGUCCAAGGUUAGUCUAGAAAGAUCUGGAUCUGUCAAUACUCAUAGAUGGAUUGUUACCAGAUGGCAAAAGUUCACCAGAAGAAAAUGUAAGCUACUCCCAGGAUAAAGGCAGUUGAGUGUGGUGGCAAGGUAAUGUGCUAAAUCAAAGUGGUAAUCUAAUUCUGAAGAAGUUAUCAACAGUGAACACAGGAAGAUGAUGCCAAAGAGUUAAGUAUACAGACAGAUUCCUCACCAGCUUUGAGGACUAUCUCUAGUACAUGUUGAGUGUGACAAUUGAUAUUCUUCGGUACAGAAGAAGCCGUUGCCAUCUGUCGUGUGACUGCUCUGAGGAUAAUGAGAACCCUCGGACAUGUGGGUUGGAAAGAAAUGACUUCAUUCCAAGGAAAAUAAAUCUAAAUAAUACAAAUGUGGUGGGAGUGUUGCUAAAUAUUUCUGGAGAUCUUGAGGUGCUUGGGGAGAAAAUGAAUCAUGUUAGUAAUAAUUUUUGCUUCUCUUUCUCCUAACUGUGCCAAUUUAAAAAUAUCAUUCAGGCAGGACCUGUGUUUUAAACUCUACCUGUACUUCCAGGAGGGUGUCCUCAGGGCUUCGCCUGCAGGAAGGUCACCGGGAGUCAAUGCAAAUCAGGCCUGUGGCCUCCCAGCGGCAGGCUACCUCAAGGACCCUCGAGGCACAGGCAGAUUUUAGAACAGCAGAAAUACUACCGGUGUGUUGAAACAAAACA